rnacentral:rRNA from 1 species
UACGUAGGGUGCGAGCGUUGUCCGGAAUUAUUGGGCGUAAAGAGCUCGUAGGCGGUUUGUCGCGUCUGCUGUGAAAACCCGAGGCUCAACCUCGGGCCUGCAGUGGGUACGGGCAGACUAGAGUGCGGUAGGGGAGAUUGGAAUUCCUGGUGUAGCGGUGGAAUGCGCAGAUAUCAGGAGGAACACCGGUGGCGAAGGCGGUUCUCUGGGACGGUACUGACGCUGAGACGCGAAAGCGUGGGGAGCGAACAGG